rnacentral:lncRNA from 1 species
AAUAGGACAGCAGCCAUUCCAGGUAGCAGGGGAAUGGCCCUUCCUCACUUUCUGACGAUUUUUUUUUACGCUCUUCUGUCUUUGGGGAAAGCGGCAGGCUAAGGAAAACCGGGAAGCCACGCAGACCUCUGCCUGUGACACAGCACGUGGGCUGGCCUCUGGCAACUGACAGAGGGAACAUUGCUGCUGAUGCGAAGAAAAGUCAUCAGAGAUUCUAAAAAAUAACGGUAAAUAUAGCUAUGGCGGAUAAGCAAGGAGGGACAGGAGGUGACCAAGGCCACAGUGGGGAGAGACCUAGCAGAGAGAGCACCCACCUCAAUCAGGCCACAGCCGGGACGGAGGUUCUGAGCCACGUCUCCUGAGUUCAUUUACUCGGUGGAAGUCAAUCUUAAUUGUCAAUUCGAUGAGAUUUUUAAUCGCCAUGGAAACAGACCUCUGAGCAUGUCACGGAGACAGUUUCUAUAUCAGGUUAAUCGAGGUACAUCUGAGGUACAACAGUCUACCUCAUAGUGGCCUCUGACAGUCCAAAGCACGAGCGGUCAUUGCCAGGGCAGCUCCAUUGUCUGCCAGAGCCCUCUCUGCUCUGCUUAUAGCUGUCUCAUGCCAGCCGAGUCGCUUCAGCAUGCAGGUGCCUGCCUCUGCUCACCCCCUGUCAGUUCCCAGGUCAGAGACACCAGGAUGCCCCCCGUAAAAAAUUUUCUUCUUUAAGUUGCCUUGGUCAUUGUGUCUAAGUAGCUAAGACACCUUGCUCGGUUUUAAACUCACUCAUUCAAAACCAAAACCAUAGCUUUCAUAAACCAUUCUCUGGACUGUACAGAACAACUCCUUAAGGCAAACACAUAUCUGUGGAUUCUAUAUAUGGCCAAGCAGGGAAAACCACCGGAUGACUCUCCCAGUAGUCAUGUAGGAAAGGGAGCCUCAUGCCACCCAUCAACAGCAAGCAAAGUGGCUUCAUCCACUCCUGUUCUCAGCGACUAUUUGCUAACCACUGCACAGCAGGCUCUAUUUAAAGAGCAGAGAACCACUCAGAUGGGCCAGACACCUGCUCCCAUGAGCAAGGUCCUAGCACAGACCUGAGGCUCAUGGAUUGUGAGUUGAUGUGAGGAGGACUUACCACACUCUAUUGAGCCUCUCUGCUGGGACACACAUGGAAGAAGUUGAUGAGAGUGGUCUUGACUCCAGUUUAAAAAUGUCAGCAUCACUCAGGAGAAACCAUCAGGGCUAUAGAACAUGGUAUUCUGAAGUCAGAAAGGACUGAGUGGGCUGGACAUCCAGUAAUAGAGAACCUGCUGCAGAGAGGAAUGAAGGGUACCAGAGAUCAAACGGAUGGAAGGAGUGGACCACACUCAGGGAGGUCCCACUUCCUCCCCAUCCCUCUACAGUCACUCUCAUGACUGUGGGCAAUGACCUCUUACUUACAGAAACAGGUCCCUGGCUUCACUGGGCCCAUAGGCCAUAGUUUAUGGACAGGCUUUGGUCUAUGACAUUAGUAGAAAAAAACAUCAUGGUUCGAAGAGUACACACCUCUGUCACAUGCUUUGGCAGCCCUCACAUGUACAUGCGGCAAUGUCUUUCAGAAAAGGGAGUUCUCUAUCAGGUUUCCAACGGGGAGGCUUACGGAAAUUCAGGAGGUCUGUGACGCCUUUAAAAUUAUAAGCAAACCUUUAUGCAACUGCUUUCCAGAGAUUUGUAAUCCAUAAUGGCCUGGUGCCCAGAAGGCUAAGGGCAAAUGCAAAACAAAGAAAGAGAGAGAGAGAGAGAGAGAGAGAGAGAGAGAGAGAGAGAGAGGAAGGAAGGAAGGAAGGAACAUGGUCUUGAAUAUCAAAGACCAAAAGUCCUAUGAGUACAUUC